UUGCCGCCGAAUUGCCGCUGAAUUGCCGGUUCGCUGUUUUUCAGAUCUGCUGGAAUCCUGCAGACUAAGCCAAUGGAAUUGCUCCCAGGAACUGAGUCUAUGAAUGUCUACUUCUCCGGCCCCCAUUAACCUCUUUCCUCUCCUAUUUAAGGAGUAUGAUCCUUGGUGGACAGCCCGAAGCCAUUCACAUAGAUUUGCUUCAGAGCUAUCAGUGAAAAGAAGCUUGGAUGCCACAGCAGGAAAUGCAUUCCUGGUCUUCAAAUGUGCUAAAAUGUGUCAACAAAAGAGGAUGAAGCUUUCUCCGCAGAAAAGUUGAAAAGAUGGCUACCAGAACGAAGUACCAAGAAUGGCAUACUAGCUGUUUGCCUGCAACCACUGGCUCCAGUGAGUUUCCUAAGCAUGCAGACCUAUUCACUAAUGUCUACUCUAAUCUGAAGUCCACAGUAAAUAAGAGAAAACAUCUAGUUCUCUAAAUCCCUAGUUCUUUGCAAAACUCCAGAGCACAGUCUCCAACAGACUGGUACUAAUCCCUAAAGCAAUGCC